CCUACGGGGGGCUGCAGUAAGGAAUAUUGGUCAAUGGACGAAAGUCUGAACCAGCCAUCCCGCGUGCAGGAUGAAGGUCCUAUGGAUUGUAAACUGCUUUUAGCAGAGAAGAAAAGCAUCCUUUUAAGGGUGUCUGACGGUAUCUGCGGAAUAAGCACCGGCUAACUCCGUGCCAGCAGCCGCGGUAAUACGGAGGGUGCAAGCGUUAUCCGGAAUCACUGGUGCGAAAGGGUGCGUAGGAGGAAGUGUAGAAAGCCUGUCGCUUAACGAUAGAACUGACAUUGAUACUGAUAUUCUUGAAUUGGGUUGAGGUUAGCGGAAUGUGACAUGUAGCGGUGAAAUGCAUAGAUAUGUCAUGGAACACCAAUUGCGAAGGCAGCUAGCUGGGCCUUGAUUGACGCUGAGGCACGAAAGCGUGGGUAGCGAACAGGAUUAGAUACCCUUGUAGUC
rnacentral:rRNA from 1 species